rnacentral:rRNA from 1 species
GAUGAACGCUGGCGGCGUGCCUAAUACAUGCAAGUCGAGCGAACAGACGAGGAGCUUGCUCCUCUGACGUUAGCGGCGGACGGGUGAGUAACACGUGGAUAACCUACCUAUAAGACUGGGAUAACUUCGGGAAACCGGAGCUAAUACCGGAUAAUAUAUUGAACCGCAUGGUUCAAUAGUGAAAGACGGUUUUGCUGUCACUUAUAGAUGGAUCCGCGCCGCAUUAGCUAGUUGGUAAGGUAACGGCUUACCAAGGCGACGAUGCGUAGCCGACCUGAGAGGGAUCGGCCACACUGGAACUGAGACACGGUCCAGACUCCUACGGGAGGCAGCAGUAGGGAAUCUUCCGCAAUGGGCGAAAGCCUGACGGAGCAACGCCGCGUGAGUGAUGAAGGUCUUCGGAUCGUAAAACUCUGUUAUUAGGGAAGAACAAAUGUGUAAGUAACUAUGCACAUCUUGACGGUACCUAAUCAGAAAGCCACGGCUAACUACGUG